rnacentral:rRNA from 1 species
AGCGAACGCUGGCGGCAGGCCUAACACAUGCAAGUCGAACGAAGUCUUCGGACUUAGUGGCGGACGGGUGAGUAACACGUGGGAACGUGCCUUUAGGUUCGGAAUAACUCAGGGAAACUUGUGCUAAUACCGAAUGUGCCCUUCGGGGGAAAGAUUUAUCGCCUUCAGAGCGGCCCGCGUCUGAUUAGCUAGUUGGUGAGGUAAAGGCUCACCAAGGCUACGAUCAGUAGCUGGUCUGAGAGGAUGACCAGCCACAUUGGGACUGAGACACGGCCCAAACUCCUACGGGAGGCAGCAGUGGGGAAUCUUGCGCAAUGGGCGAAAGCUUGACGCAGCCAUGCCGCGUGGAUGAUGAAGGUCUUAGGAUUGUAAAAUCCUUUCACCGGUGAAGAUAAUGACUGUAGCCGGAGAAGAAGCCCCGGCUAACUUCGUGCCAGCCGCCGCCGUAAAAC